AGAGUUUGAUUCUGGCUCAGAACGAACGCUGGCAGCGUGGAUUAGGCAUGCAAGUCGAACGAGAGUAUUGAAGUAGCAAUACGACGAUACAAGAGUGGCGGAAGGGCGAGGAACGCGUGGGCAAUCUACCCCCUGGUUGGGGAUAACCCGCCGAAAGGUGAGCUAAUACCGGAUACGAUGGUCUGCCGCAUGGUGGAUUGAUCAAAGAUGGGGAGCCGUAAGGUCCUGUCGCCGGGGGAGGAGCCCGCGUCCUAUCAGCUUGUUGGUGAGGUAACGGCUCACCAAGGCUUACGGGUAGCUGGUCUGAGAGGAUGGUCAGCCGCACUGGGACCGGGACACUGCCCAGACUCCUACGGGAGGCUGCAGUCGAGGAUCAUUCGCAAUGGGCGCAAGCCUGACGAUGCGACGCUGCGUGGAGGAUGAAGGCCUUCGGGUCGUAAACUCCUGUCAUUCGGGAACAAUAAAUUGGUCAUUAAUACUGGCUGAAAUUGAUAGUACCGGGAGAGGAAGCCACGGCUAACUCUGUGCCAGCAGCCGCGGUAAUACAGAGGUGGCAAGCGUUGUUCGGAUUUACUGGGCGUAAAGGGUGCGUAGGUGGUAUUGUGUGUCGGGCGUGAAAGCUCACCGCUCAACGGUGAAAUGUCGUCCGAAACUACAAAACUAGAGUGCAGGAGAGGAGAGCGGAAUACUUGGUGUAGCGGUGGAAUGCGUUGAGAUCAAGUAGAACACCGGUGGCGUAGGCGGCUCUCUGGAAUGUAACUGACACUGAGGCACGAAAGUUGGGGGAGCAAACAGGAUUAGAUACCCUGGUAGUCCCAACCCUAAACGGUGUACACUUGUUGUAGGGGGAAUUGACCCCCCCUGUGACGGAGCUAACGCGUUAAGUGUACCGCCUGGGGAGUACGGUCGCAAGAUUAAAACUCAAAGAAAUUGACGGGGGCCCGCACAAGCGGAGGAGCAUGUGGCUUAAUUCGAUGCAACGCGAAGAGCCUUACCAGGGCUUGACAUGUAGCUGGACGUCCCAUGAAAGUGGGAUUCCUUCGAGGCUGCUACACAGGUGCUGCAUGGCUGUCGUCAGUUCGUGCCGUGAGGUGUUGGGUUAAGUCCCGCAACGAACGCAACCCCUGUAUUUAGUUGCCACUACCGGUGAUGAAUCGGUAAGCACUCUAAAUAGACUGCCCGUGAUAAGCGGGAGGAAGGUGGGGAUGACGUCAAGUCAGUAUGGCCUUUAUGCCCUGGGCUGCACACGUGCUACAAUGGUCGGUACAGAGGGGAGCUAAGCCGCGAGGUAGAGCAAAUCCCAAAAAAAACCGGCCCCAGUUCAGAUUGAAGGCUGCAACUCGCCUUCAUGAAGUUGGAUUCGCUAGUAAUGGCGCAUCAGCUACGGCGCCGUGAAUACGUUCCCGGGCCUUGUACACACCGCCCGUCACAUCAUGAAAGCCGUCUGCACCCAACGUCGUUGAUUCAACCCGCAAGGGAGAUAGACGCCUAAGGUGUGGGUGGUGAUUGG
rnacentral:rRNA from 1 species